rnacentral:rRNA from 1 species
UACGGAGGGUGCGAGCGUUGUCCGGAAUCAUUGGGCGUAAAGGGCGCGUAGGUGGCCCGGUCAGUUCGUGGUGAAAGCGCGGGGCUCAACCCUGCGUCGGCCAUGAAUACUGCCGCGGCUGGAGCACUGUAGAGGCAGGCGGAAUUCCGGGUGUAGCGGUGGAAUGCGUAGAGAUCCGGAAGAACACCGGUGGCGAAGGCGGUUCUCUGGGACGGUACUGACGCUGAGACGCGAAAGCGUGGGGAGCGAACAGG